ensembl:misc_RNA Metazoa_SRP Metazoan signal recognition particle RNA
GCCAGGUGCGGUGGCUUACACCUGUAAUCCCAGCACUUUGGGAGGCUGAGGCAGGAGGAUCACUUGAGCCCAGGAGUUCGGGGCUGUGGUGAGCCAUGAUCGUGCACUCUAGCCUGGGCAACAGAGAGAGAUUCUGUCUCUG